rnacentral:rRNA from 1 species
UAGGGAAUCUUCGGCAAUGGACGAAAGUCUGACCGAGCAACGCCGCGUGAGUGAAGAAGGUUUUCGGAUCGUAAAACUCUGUUGUUAGAGAAGAACAAGGACGUUAGUAACUGAACGUCCCCUGACGGUAUCUAACCAGAAAGCCACGGCUAACUACGUGCCAGCAGCCGCGGUAACACGUAGGUGGCAAGCGUUGUCCGGAUUUAUUGGGCGUAAAGCGAGCGCAGGCGGUUUCUUAAGUCUGAUGUGAAAGCCCCCGGCUCAACCGGGGAGGGUCAUUGGAAACUGGGAGACUUGAGUGCAGAAGAGGAGAGUGGAAUUCCAUGUGUAGCGGUGAAAUGCGUAGAUAUAUGGAGGAACACCAGUGGCGAAGGCGGCUCUCUGGUCUGUAACUGACGCUGAGGCUCGAAAGCGUGGGGAGCAAACAGG